rnacentral:lncRNA from 1 species
UGAAAAAAAAAAAAAAAAAAAAAAAAAAAAAAAAAAAAAAAAAAAUUGAUAUUUUCUAAAAACAUUAAAAUUUAGAUGCAAAGGAUUUUUUUGAAUUGCCCAAAAUACUAAUAUUUUUCAAUAUCUCAAAGUCUAUAUUUUAAGAAUUAAGAAAGUGAUAGGAAUAAAAACUUACUUCCUUAUGUAUAUAUUGCUUUUAACUACUAUUCUUAAUUUAUAGAGAAAAGGAGAUUUUUUAUUUUUCUUUGUAUAAAUAUUUUUUUUAUUUCUUUUAAGCUAUAUUAAGAACCUUAUAUAUGGAUAAGAGACAAAAAAAUUAGCUACAUUUAUCUAAAUCUAUUUUUAAAUCUCUUAUUUCUUAAUUUUUUACAGGAAGGUUGUGAGCUAAAAUAAACCCCCACUAAUUGGAAGUUUAUUCUAGUUCACAAUCAUUAACCUACUUAGUAUUUUAUUAUCUAUAAUAAUUUUUUGAUUCUCAUUGAAUAAUAUUCUAUUCUUCUCUUAAUUAAACUCCAUUAAUCCAUCAAAUCCAUUCCUUAAUUUAUACCUACAAUAUUAGUUCUACUAAGAAUUGUAUGCAUAAAAAAACUUUUUAUAUAUUUUUAUUUUUAUUAUAUAUAUAUAUAUAUAUAUAUAUAUAUAUAUAUAUAUAUAAUUCUUAUACUUUAUCUAUCAACAAAAAAUAAUCCAAGUAGAAAUUAUCAUCUACAAAUAAAUUAUCAUUUACAAAUGAGUUUUUAUCCAAACCUAAAGUUCAUCAAAUCUUAAGUUUAUUUAACCUAAAUCUAAAAUCAUCCAAUAUUUUCACCUAAUUUAUUUAAUUCAUAAGAGAUUAACCAGAUAAGAUGAUGUCAAAGAUGCUUUAGAUGACAGUGAUCAAAGUGCAAUGCAAUAUCAUUGCUACCAUAAAGAUUGCAAAUAGUGAUGUUAAAAUAGAAGGAAAAUUGAAAGAUGUCAUUGAUAUCAAGAUGUUAAAUAAAAAAAUGUAACAUGGAAGCCACUUGAGCCUUUGAUACUACAUGUUUGCAUAAGGUUCAGUCAGAUUAAGAGUAGUCAAUAACUAACUAGAUACACAACCUUCUUUGUAUGUUGUAAAUAGUGCUACAAUGUAAUUAUACUAUGUGCUCUAUCACGGCCUUCACUCUUGGUAUAAUCAUCAAGUGUUCCUUGAGAUUUUUUCAAAUGCAACUACUUAAGCAAGAUAGUAAUAAGAAUCAUUGUUUGACUAAUGUACUUGAAGCUAGCCACUCUUUUAUUGUAUAUCUUCUAGACUAGUUCCUAGCUUUGCACCAUAGCUCUUUUGAGUCAAUCAAUUUCAUAUCUACAAUUGCCGUUAUAAUAUAGAAUGUAAUUAAUACUUUGUAAGACCUCCUUUGGCCUUGAUAACUACUUCUAACCUCCUAGGCAUACUUUCUAUUAACUUUUGGCACAAAAUUGCUUCAAUAUUAUUCCAUUCUAAAGUUUUCUUUUUUCAUAAUUUCCAAACUUUCUUUGAUUUUAUCUUCCAAGUGUUGAAUUGGGAUUUGAGAUGCUGCCAAAGAUAUUCAAUGGGAUUAAAAUCAAGAGACUAAGUAAGCCAAUCCAUUAGUUUAAUUCCAUUAUGAUCAAAUUACUUCCAUAUUAGUUUUGAAUUAUACUUGGAGUCGCUAUCUUGCUGAAAAAUCACCUCUUCUUCAGAAAUGUCAAAUUCUUCAAUUCUAGGAAGUAUGUUUUUUCAAGAAUUUCUACAAAUUACUUGGCAUCUAUCUAUCUUCUCUUCAACCUUUGCUAUCUUUCCUAUUCCAUUCUAUCCUAUACAAUCUCUACCAUCUUUCCAAUCCUAUUCUAUUCUAUACAAUCCCAUACCUUUAUAUCUUUACCUCCAUACUUAACUGUUUCUUGGAUCUUAUCAAGCAAAGACUGACCUUUUUGUUUCGACACCCACUUUCUACCAUCUAAUCCAAAUCUAUUGAUUUUUGUCUCAUCUGAUCAGAUAACCUUCUUCCAAUCCUCCAUAGUCCAUUUCUUAUACUUUAGAGUAAAAUCCAAGUGUUAUUUUUGAUGGUCGAUAGAUAAUAGUGGCUUUUUUUUUUCUUCACUUUGUCUUUUAUAUUCCAUUUUUUAAAAAUAUUUCAAAUGUUUUGGAUUGACACAAGAUUAUUGAUAAUAUUGUUUAGGUUUUUAACAACCUCAAUAGCAUUUUUAGCCUUCCUAGUGUUGAUUUGGCAAAUAAUUGUUCUUUCAUCUAUUACAGUGAGCUUCUUUGGUCUACCUAAUUUAAAGUUCUUCCUAUUAAAAAUGAUCUUUUUUCCUAGCCUAGAGAUAGUAACUUUACUGUAGCUAAGUUUACAAGCAAUUUGGCCAUAAGAUUUUUGAGAAUGAAGAACAACAAAGAUGAUGUUAUCUUCAAGAAAGUAGGGAAUGGGUCUCAUAGUUGUUCAAAGAAUUUUCAAGGACAUAAGAAUUUGACAAAGAAAUAUAUCAAGAUUAAAGACAAAGAAUGAAAUUGAUAGCAAAAGUGGUUCCAAAGAUUCCUAUUUACAUUAUAAUGAACGUUACACAAGUCUAUGGUACUUUCUAUAGAAAUUUUUAGAAGUCUAAAAAAGCUUCUAGAAGCCUAAGAAACUUUCUAAAAGAUUGUAAAAGAUUCUACAAGUAUGUAAAAGUUUCUAAAAAUUUAUAAAAUAUUCUAGAAGAUCCUAAAAUGUAAUAAUUUGGAAUAUAUCUAAACAAAGAAUUAUGAUUAAAAAUGAUACUUUCAUAGCUGCUAGUAAGUAUUAAUAAUGUCAUUAGAUUAAUAAUAGUAUUUUUAUAGUAAAUUUAAUGAUGAUAGAAUAUUGUAAUAUUGAAUAAUUGAAAAAAUCCAAAAAUUAGACACCACACUUAAAAAAUUAUUUCAAUACUACUCCAAAUUAGAUUGGUUGUAGCUCCACAAUUAUCUAAUGGAUUCUUUUCAAUCUAGGCUCAUUUGGAAGCUAUAAAGGAGUACUUUAUUUGCUAUACAAACCAUGUGUCAUUAUUCACUACAAUUCAUGUGUAAUACACCAUUCUUUCCAAAAUAUGUCUACAUUGAAAUAAUUUUUUGAAUCAUUGUAUAUAGAGAUUAAAAGUAAUUGCACUGCUUGAUAUAUUAAUUAUCUUAUUUAAAUGUUAAAUUGAUAGUUAUUUAUUAAUGUAAGAAGUAUUAAGAAUAAAUUUAUGAUAUGCUACUAUACUUAUUAGGUUUAUAAAUAUUAGCUAUUUUUUUAUCAUAUUAUUGACUUUAAUUUUUUAAUUCUAUUAAUUGGUCAAAUUCUAAGUACUUAUGGUUUAUUAGACAAUGAGAGCUUUGAUUUCAAUUCUAUUAUAUCAUUUUUGUUAAUUCAUAAUUAUAAAAGAAUAUAAUAUUAUUUUCUUUAUGUAACCAAUUUAUAAUCAUGGUAGUACACUUAAGACUUGGAUUAGUAUGAUAAGUAUUGCAAAAAAAUUAUCUAGUAAAACUAGCUAUGAUUUUUUUGUAUUUUCAACUAUUAAAAGUAAGCAAUUCUUUUUCACUUAUAUUACACAAAAUUAUUGUUAAUUUUUUUAUCUUAAGUUUUCAUGUAUAUUAUAUUUAUUGCCAAUGCAUGAAUUAAGAUACCAUUUAAUAAUGGAUCCUUAUAUACCAAAAGUCUUUAUUAUCCUUGACUUGCAAAUUGGCUCAAAUAUUAUAGUUGUUUACAACAUUAAAUUUUGAACAAAGAAAAGAUUAUACAAUUUUAUCAAUAAGAAAGUAUUUUCUAUAUCUACCUUCUUUGAUACAACCUUGUAUAUCUAUCACAACAAGGUUAUUAUGUUAGAGCAUGAUUGAAGGUAAAAAAUAUCACUAUUUAAUCUUAAUUCUUCUAAAAUCAUGUUCUAUAUUUUAUAGGUGGUUGUAUUUUUAAUUUUUAUAAUAACUAUAUCCUCCUUCAUCUUUAGUUCCAAAUAAAUUAUUAAUGUAUUAUAAACAUUUGCAAUAAAUUUAAAAUGUUUUAGUAUUGACUUAUCUUACAAAGUUGGAUUUGGUUUCAAAUUGUAUCUUUUGUCUAACCAUGAGGUUAAUUUUUAUUUUUAUGUAUUUUUAAUUUAUUUAGAAUUUUUAUUUUUAUAUAAAAUUAAAAUAAAUUCAUUAAAAUCACCUGUAAUUAAAAUAAAGGUAGCUGAUAGGCUAAUCAAAUUUUUACAUAACUUAUUGUUUAGAUUUUCUUCUAUUGUAUUAAGGUUUAAUUUUUAUAGAGUCAUUCUAAGAUCUUAUGAAUUUAAGUUAAAUUUGUAUUAAGCUUUAGUUUUAGAAAAAAUUGUGUAUUAUAUAAUUCAUUAAUUAAUUCUUAUAAAAAAUUGACAUCUUAUAGAAAGAUUUAAAAAAUCAAUAAAAAAAAUAUCUUAUUUUUGGUUAUUAAAUUAUUCAUUUGGAUUUUGAGGCUCCAUUCUAUACUAAAAUCUAUCCCAAUACAAAACUGUAACUUGAAACAAUUGGAAUCAUAUAGCAUGUGAUACAUAAAAAUUUCUAAACUUAUAAAAAAAAAUAUAGAAAUUUGCUGGAAUUCUUCUACUAGCUUCUUCAAUGCAAUGUAGGUUGGAAAUUCAAAUGAAUUUGUAUUAGAAAAACUAUCUAGAUUCUAUAUUACUCAAAGAUCAAAAUUAGAAUCCUAAGACUAGAAGGUGCAUGUUUCAAGUUUGAAUUUGUAUGGAGAUAGGACUCAAAGAUUACAACUUUUUUCUUCAAAGGUUGUUUUAAAUACAAAGAUAUUUUGUAAAGCUUUUUUAUUUAAAAAAAUAAUAUCUUUCAAGGUAGUUUUAAGGACCUCCUUUUGUUAUUCAAAACUAAAAUUUAUUGAUCUUCUACCUACAAACCAUACAAUGAUUAAGAUGUGGCAAAGUUUUGCUACCUCAUUGCAAAUCAAGCCAUUAUUUUAUUGUAAUUUCAAAGAGAUUCAUGUAUAUUAAAAGACUAUUUUAAUUUCAAGAAACUUUGGCCAAAAAUAACUCACUUGAGUAGAAUUUUUUUGGAUGUAAUCUUCUUUAAAGUUGCAAAAACUUACUUAUAGCAAAUUUUAUAUUUUUCUUCUUGAGGUUCAUUGAAAGUUUUAGAUUUGUAUUGUAUACUCUAAUUCUUACUUACAAUUGUGAACCUUCUUCCAAUUCUUUGCAUUUUUUGACAAAAUUUGUCUAUAUCUCCAUAAUUACCAAAGAAAGUUUUAAUAUAUAUAUAUAUAUAUAUAUAUACCAAAAAAAAAAAAAAAAAAAAAAAAAAAAUCUAAUUUUGAAUUUAUCUUGCAUUAAUGCAAAUGGAAUGUAGAAAAGAUACAACUUUAUACAAACCACAUGUGCAAGUAUCAAAGACAUGAAUUGAAAGAAGAUACAUAAACUUAUAAAAUCCAUGUCAGAAGAAAAGUGACAAAAUAAAAAUAAAGAAGUAUGUAUAUUAAAAGGAAACUAGAAUGGCUAUUUCCAAAAGAAAAGGAAACUAGAGACUCUUGAAUCUAAACUAGAAGCAAGAAAGAAAUUGACAAGAGUAAAGAAGGCUCUACUCUUGCCUAAGAUAUACUACAUACUAUAUACUAUAUAUACUAUUUACUUAAGAUCUAUGUAGCAACAUUCUAUAGGAGCUCCAAAUAUGUAUUGACUUUGUAUGACAUAUAUUUUAAUUUGUAAGAAAAAAUUUCUAUAUAGAUGCCACAUAGUUAGCUUAUUCCAUAAGCUACCAAUACAUGUGGUAUAUAAUUAGCUUGUUGAUUAAGUUUCUAACCUAUUAAUGAAUUACAAAUACAUGUAAAAUUAAAAUAGCAUUUAAAAAGCUUCUAAAAAGAUUUUGUAUAAGGUAUUAUGAAAUUAAUCUAUUUUUACUUACUUCUAUCUAUUCAUAUUACUUGAAUAACAAUUAUAAUAGAUAUAUAUCCAUGACAUUAUUCCCCCUUCUAGAGACGAGUUUCAUGAGGAGUAGUAAUUAUAUAUUGAAGAAGUCUAAGAAGCAAUGAAUUAUAUUUGCUAUGUAUUUUGAUCUUUAUUCUCUUCAAAGAUAGUUGAUAGGUUCUCUUAGCCAUCAAUAAUAUUCCAUUUCAAGGCAAAAAGAUCACCUUGUGAUUUGAUGAUUUAUUGAAACCUUUGUAACUUUCUUCAAACAAAAUAUUUGUAAUAUAAUUAGAAAUUGUAUCUAUCUCAAAUAAAAUCACUAAACAUUGAGAGUCUUUUUUUAAGUUGUGAUAUCAAACAUGAUGUAACUUACCAUCUAUUUGAGGAAGUACAUGUCGUUCUUGAAGGUCUUCAUUCUUAUUACAUCAUCUUAAAGGCUUUAAUAAUUAUAAUGUCUUAUCCAAUAAGUCAACAAAUAAUAGUUUUUGACUUGAAUCUACCAGCUAUUGGUUUUCCAUAUUUUUAAUGCCACAGUUAUACAAAAAUUACAAACAAGGAUAGAAGGUAAAAUACAGUCUUUUUUAAAUUGUGUUUCUUUAAUAGCAAAGAUUUGCUAUCCUUCAUUUUGAUUUUGAUGGAUGUGAUUGAUGAAAAGCUUUGACCUUAUCUACUAUAUUUGUAAGAUUUUUUGCUGGCUCCCAUGUGUAUUCACUAAUAUCAUAUCUACACCAAUAGACAAGAUAUUCCAACUUAUCACAAAGACAACUUCUACCACUUCAAAUUUUUCAUUAUUGUCUACUUCUAUGGAAAGAAGUGAGACUUGUCUUUUUUUUUUGGUAUGUUGAUAGUCUUGUAUGGUUUAAGAAGAGAUACGUGGAAUAUAUGAUGGAUCUUCAUUGACUUUGGUGAAUGUAAUUGAUAAGCAACUAGAUUUAUUUGUCGACAAAUAAGAAAAGGUUCAAACAUUUAGUAGUCUAACUUAUCACAAGGACAAGUAGUCUUGAUAUUAUGACAAAAUAAUCAUACCUUGUCACCAACAUUAAAUUAUAAUUAUUCCUUUUGAUAGGCAUUCGUAUUAAUCUUUUAUUCUUCUUGAGCUUCUUUUAACUGUACCUUCAUAUAACUUAUACAAAUGAUUUGUCAAAUCUUUUAGUGCAAGAUUAUUAACUUCUGAAAAAUUAAAAGUAUCAAGUCAGGGAUGAUAAUCAUAAUUGACAAAGAAAAAUGUUGGUUGCAUAAAAAAAUAUAUUGUAUUAUUAUUAGCAAACUUUGCCAAUGACAAGAGGGUUGUUCAAUCAUCUUAUUGAUAAUUGAUGGUACACCUUAAGUAUUAUUCCAAAACUUAGUUUACACACUCUAUAUGUCCAUUAAUUUGAAGAUAAAAGGUCGAAGAAAGCUUUAUGUCUACCUUUAAAAUCUUAAAAAGGAUUCUCUAAAAUCUUGAUAUAAAUUGAAUCUCCUUAUUUGAUAUAAUAUUGUUUGGAAAUCGAUGAUAUUGAUAGAUAUUGUUAAAAAAAAGCUUAGCAAUUUCUUGACAUAUAAUAGAUUUUCAUGUGUAUAAUACAAAAUAUGUCAUUUUGGUGAAAUGAUCUACUAUAACACAUAUAGAAUUAUACAAAUUUGAAAUUAAAAGAUCUAUAAGAAAAUUCAUAGAAAGAGAAGAUCAUAGUUGUUUAGAAAUAGGUAAUGGCUAAAGAAGUUUGUAAGAUCAAUGAUAAGGAGUUUUUGACCUUGAACAAAUGUCACAUAAUUAAAUAAAGUCUUUUAUAGCCUUUUAUAUUUGCACCCAUCAAAAAUCUUUGGAUAUUAGCUCUAAAGUCUUCUUAUAUUCAAAAUGUGCUACUGCUAGAAAUUUGUGACAUGCUUGAAGAAUAUGUAAACAUGCUUCUCCUUCUAAAAUAUAUUCUUCAAAAUAAAAUAGGUUCUUAAACUCAAACUUAGAAGUAUGACAAGAUUUAGAAGAAGUAUUCUUAAUAUCAUGAACAAGAAGAUAAGAUGACAUACUUGAUUGAAUUUGCUUGAAAAAAGUUUAAUCAAAAAUCAAUAUUGAUUUCACUACUUGAAGAUGAAAUUAUUCUUGCUUCAAUAAAAUUAUCUUUUCUUGAUCAAAAGCUGCAUCUCUUCCUUUUGAUAUAAGAUAAGAAUGUCUAGAAAAGACAUUGAACAAAUCUUGUUAUUUUUCUAACUAAUAAGUGAUAUUGAACUCGAAUCUUGAGAAAGACAUGUUUCAAUGAGUCUAGCGACUAUUCAAAAUAAAUGCUAACAUGAAAUACUUAAGGUUCUUGUGAUCUACAUAUAAAGUGAUUGGAUUAAAAGCACCUUCUAGACAAUGACACUCUUUUUGAAAAGAAUCCACAAUUACAAGAUAUUCUUUAUUGAGGAUCUUAUAGUUAAUCUCAACUAUUAAGAAUUUUUUAAAAUAGAAAGCUACUAGAUGGAGCUUGUCAACUUUUUCUAUUUGUGACAAAAUAGUAUCUAUAACAAAAUGUGAUGUGUCUAUUUCCAUAAAAAAAUGCCUUGAAAAAGUCAAUACAAUAUAAGAUUGGUACAUAAAUAAAUACCAACUUCAAGGCUUCAAAAGAUACUUUAGCUUCUUUGUUCCAAUGAAGUUUGUCUUUGCAUGUAAGAUAUGUAAGAGAAGCCGUAACUUGAGAAAAUUUCUUGAUGAAGAUCCAAGAACAAUUAAUAAAGCCUAAAAAGCAUUGCACAUCUCUUAUUAUUUUUGAAAUCUUUCAAUCUAUAAUAGUUUGAACCUUCUUUGGAUCCAUGAUAAGUUCUUUGUUGCAAAUGAUAUAUCCUAGAAAGUCAACUUGAAUAAUAUGAAAUAUACACUUUUCCAACUUGGCAUACAAUCCUUCAUCUUUAAGUUUCUAUAACACACAACAAAUAUGAACUUCAUGCUCUUCUCUGUUCUUAGAAUAGAUUAAAAUGUCGUUUAAGUAAAAAACAAAAAAAUCAUUUAGAAAUUCACAAAAAACAUCAUUUAUAAGAUGUUGAAAAGCAGCUAGUAUAUUUAUGAGUCCAAAAAGUAUGACAUUAUAUUUAAAGUAUCCAUAUCUUAUUCAAAAUAUAAUCUUCUAUUCAUCUCCUUCUUUAAUGUGGACCAAGUACUAUGCUUAUUUUAGAUCUACUUUUGUAUAGGUAUUAGCUUGAUUUAGUUGAUCAAGAAGUCGAGAUAUCAAGGAUAAAGAAUACCUAUUCCUAAUCGUAAUCUUGUUGAGUCUUCAAUAAUCUAUGCACAUUUGUAAAGAUCCAUCUUUUUUUUUCAUAAAUAAGAUAGGAGCUCUUAUAGGAGAUUUUCAAUGGCAUAUGAAAUUCUUAGCCAAGUUCUUAUCAAUAUAAUCUUUGAAUUCAAUCAACUCAUUUCAUAAUAAAUUGUAGAGUGGACCAAAUGGUGGCUGACUUCCCUCUUUAAGGUCAAUUGAGCAAUCAUAUGGACAAUGCUUUGAGAAAAUAUCUACAUUCAUCUUUUCAAAAAUAUCUUAAAAAACUUAAUAUUGACUUGGAAUGCUACUUGAAGUCUUUCUAUCAUUAAAAAUGGAUGUAGCAUAAGUAACAAAAGACAAUCCUUCUUUUGCAGCAUGGAAGUUUUUGUGCCUACAAAUAUGGAUUUGGCUACAUUAGACUCAUGGUUUUUUACAAAACUCUUAAUAAUGCUCUAAAAAAAUUCAAGUUUAUAAGAAAUUUAAUCUAUUAGAAGAUUAUAUUUUUCUAGCCUCGAUAAAUCUAAAAUGAUUGAAUUAGAGGAAGAUCUAAUUAUAUUAAAAAUUAUGCAACUAUUAUGACCAUUUAUUGCUCCAUCUAUAGGAAGUGUUUUAUAAGUAAUAUCUCUAGAAGAUAAAGAACAGAAAUUUAUAAUUUCUAUAUGUAUAGAUUUAGUUUUUUGUACUAAUGGUAUUCUAUAGCUUUUAACAAACUCUUCAUCUAAGAAACAAGUGGAAACUCUUGAAUCUAUCAAGGCAGAGGCUUUGUAAUUAUUAAGUCUUAAAUAUACAUCUAUUAUAAAAUAAAGAGAAGAUUUUGAAGAAAAGCUUUUCUACAAUAUAAACACAGUCUUUCUUCAUGACAAUGAGUCUUUUUUUUUUUAGUAAAAAGUUUAAAAUGUAUUGCAUCAAUUUGUAUAUCUUCUACUUUCAAAUAUUUAAAUUGAGAGGUCAUCAAUUUUGUCAUUGAAUUGUAAUAAUAUGAAGGUUUUCAUGUGUGAUUCUCAAAUUGAAAUUCAAUAAGCUAAUUGUCACACUUCACAACAAAGUCAAUUGUUUGACUCCAUGUCUAAAGAUCCAGUAAGUUUAGCAUCAAUUUCUUCAUCUCAUAUUGUAAUAUGUAAAGAAAAUGGUUGAUAAAGGCAGCAUCAUCUUACUUAACAUCAGUCGCUAAUUCUCAAAAUUAUGAAGCAUAUGAUAUCAUUGAUUGAUUGCUUUAUCACAAGAUAUGAAUCUUAUUAGUUGCAACACAAAUUCCAUCAUGUUUUUUAUACGUAGAUCAAAACUUUGCCAAAAAAGUCUUCAGAUUAUCCAAUAUUGAAUCUUAUCAUUCAAGAAAAGAUGAAAACCAUGAUAAUACUAAACUUGAAAAGAGUGUAUCAAUGAAUCUAACUUGUGAUUCCAUCAUUGCAUAGCUUUGGAAUUGAAGUUCAAUUACAAAUUAUAUUUAAUGGAUAUAUCCUCAAAAUUUGAAUCUUCUGCCAUCAAAUUUCUUGGAUAAGUCAAUUCUUGGUUCUUUAAAAUAAAAAGGAUGUUCUACUAUAGGAGAAGGGAUGUAAUUUGGUGUAAAUAUUGAAGCAGCUCCAAUCAUGUCCAUGUCUUCAAUUUUUGCCAUUUUUAUUGUUCUUUGUAGAGAUAAACUAAGUUGAUGCAUUGUAAGCAUCAACUCUCUUAAUUACUCUUAUAUUUGUGUCAUUGCACUCUUCAUUUCAAAAAGCUUUGCCAUGAUAAUACUUAGAAAAAAAAAAAAUAUAUAUAUAUAUAUAUAUAUAUAUAUAUAUAUAAUAUUACUCAAGACAAGCAAAAGAAAAGAUUUGAGAAUAAAGAAAAUACUAAGAAUAAUAUUAGUUUAGAAGAGGGUAAUCUACAACUUCUAAUACGCUCAUGUUUUAUGAAGAAAAAGAGGUAAUUCACUCUUAAUCAAAAGAAGACAAAGCUCUAAUAUUAUAAGUGUACUCUUUUCAAUCUGUCAAAGACAUGAACUAAAAGAAGAUGCAUAAAUUUGUAAAAUCCAUAUAAAAAGAAAAGUAACAAAAUAAAAAUAAAGAAGUAUGUAUAUUAAAAGAAAAGUAGAAUGGCUAUUCUCAAAAGACAAAGAAACUAGAGACUUCUUUUAUCUAAACUAGAAGCAAGAAAGGAAUUGAUAAGAGUGAAGAAGGCUUCACUCUUGCCUCUAUAUAUACUAUCUACCUAAGAUCUAUGUGGUGACGUUCUAUAACACCUCCAAAAAUGUGUUGACUUUAUAUGAUAUGUAUCUUGACUUGCAAGGCAAGUUUUCUAUAUGGGUACCACAUAAUUAGCUUGUUCUGCAAGCUACCAACACAUGUGGCAUGUGAUUAGCUUGUUGACCAAGUUUCUAACCUACCAAUAAACUACAAACACAUAUAAAGUCAAAACUGUAUCUAGGAAACUUCAAGGAAGCUCUUCUAGAAGAUAUUAUGAAAUUAAUCUACUUUUACCUACUUCUAUUUAUUUAUAUUAUCUUGGUAAUAAUUAUAAUAGAUAUAUAUUCAUGACAGCAAAUCUACCUUUGAAUCAAAAAAUAAAUAAAUAAAUCCUAUUAUCAACGCUAUAAUCUUUUGGAGAAAUAAUCCUUUAUACAUAAAGAUUCAAGAUUUAAAAUCUUUCACAAUUGGUUAUAUGUUUCUAAGAAGCUUUUAUAAUCUUCUAGAAGUUUUAUAUAUAUAUAUAUAUAUAUAUAUAUAUAUAUAUAUAUAAAUAGAAAAAAAUUAAUAAAAAAAAUAACUAAAUUCAAUUUUAAUUUAUAAACAUCUUAACAAAGUAUACAAAAAAUAUCUUAAUAACCAUAAAAAUCUAAUCAUAUAUCUUAAAAUCUAAUAAACAUUUUUUUAUUAUUUAAUUAUUAAAAUCAAGAAUUCAUAAAGAAUUAUUAUUAAAACUAAUUCUUAAAAUAAAUUUUAAAAUAAUUCUAGUUCAAUGUAUAUUUAAACUUCUAAAUUAAUCUAAAAAUAAAUUUAUUAUUCCAAUGAAACCAUAAAUUUUAAAACCUCAAAUUCUUAAUUAUAAAUCUCAAAGAAAACUCUAAAUCUUCUAUUAAAUCCUAAUUUUAAUUUAGAUCUCAAAUUAUAAUUUUGAAUACUAGAAAAUGUCAAAUUAAAUCUUUAAACUUGUUUCUAUUAAAAAUAUAUUACUAAAGACAUCUUAUUAAUUUUAUUUUAUUAUAAAUAAAUUUAUUAACUUAAUUGCUAAAUAUUAUAUUUACAAAAAAAUCAUAUAUCAGUUUUUUAGAAAAUACUAUCUUUAGUAAAAUUAAUUAAUUUUCUUGGAAACAAUAGGCUAUUAGAAAUUAUUCCUAAAUUAGAAAAGAUAGAAAUUUAAAAUAUCAAUUAAUUUAAAUAAAUAUUUAGACAAGUUUAAUUUUUUAUAUAUAUCUACUUAAGUUAGAAGUUUAAAGGAAGUGAAAGCAUUCCAAGUCCUGAAGGUGAGAAUGGCUUACAAGUAGUUAUAAUUCGAAUUAAUAUUGGUAGUUUUAAUAAAACAACAAAUUAUUAAAUUCAAAUUGGAAACAUUCUAAGUUCAAUGAACUCUUUGUACCAUGUAAACUAACCUCUAUAAGUCAUUCUUUAGUCAUGCCAAAUUCACAGAGAGCACAACAAUUUAUUCAUAAGAAUGUCUUACUCCUACACAAUUAAUUGCUUGUUGCCCACACUCAAGAGCAACAGGCAAGGUUCGUUAUCCAACUUUCAUCCCGCAAAAGUAAUGAUUUAUUGGCCAAUAUUCACCUACAUGAAAAUAAUUUUAAAAAAUCCAUCAACAAUCUUUUAGUCUUCUUUCCCCAAAUAAAUUCUAUGCUACUGUCAUUUAAAUUCUCAUAUCCUGUAUGUACCGAUCUAUGUUUUAUCCACAUGACUUUCACUGCACUUCAAUUAAAUUUCACAAUUUUGCACUUUUACUUCUAUUAACAAAUAUUACUUUAUAUUAAUUACUAUCACUUAUUCAAAAUCAUCUUGUUAGUAUUAAAAUCUUCAAAUCUCAAAUUACAUCAAAGUACGCUCUAAUCCACAACUUGAAUCAGCUCAACUCACUACAAUGAUUCAAGUCAAAAAAUCACUAAUCUUUACGUUACAUAAUGAUUGCUUGACGAGUAGAUAAAAAAUCAAUUAUAUUUUUGGUUAUUGAGAUGUAGCAUGAAAAAAACAAAACAUCAUUUGUGGUGCAACAAACCACUUCCAACUCGUUAUCAAUGAAACGAAACACAGAUUAAUCAUUUGCACAAUAAUACUUUCCAGCAUUUAGUCAUACAUUCCGUAGACAUAGUAGCAACUCGUUCAGAAAACUCCCAAUUGCAGAGUAAAACCAGAUUCAUCAAGUGGCUUCUUCAAAUUCUUUCAAGCAACUGUAAAAAACAAAAGCCAACAAAAGUGCUCACAAAGGUACCGUUACAGGUGUCAUUGAAAGUAUGGAAAAGUUCCAAGAUAAAAUCACAUGAACCAUAAAAGCCAGAUUAUUUGGAUCGUGACCGCAGAAUUUUCACCAGUCACUAAUUUAUAACCUACAAUCGUCCAACUUCACAAGCUGACAUGGCAUAACAACAAACAAUGCCUUGUUAACUCCGAUUCGACACAAACUCUAUAACAUCUAGGGGACUCGCUCUAAACCAACAGGCCUAGCUCAAUGAGUCAAAACUAACGAUCUAAAUUAGGUCCAGAACAAUUUCAUAACCAUUGAAAAACCAGCAAUCUUAGUGUCCAUAGGAAGAAAUAUACACAACAUUUUACUUCUUACUCAAAUAUCCGUAUUCACAGAUAUAUUGCAGUAUCCCCAUCCAAAACCUGAGGUCCCAUAACAGCAAACACAAAUAUCAACUGAACAUUGAUACAGCCCACUCCAACAACAAAAACUUCACGGAUCUCAAAGAAACAAAAAAAAAAAAAAAAAAAAAAAAAAAACUCAAAAAUUCACAACACUUCAGAACAAGUGAACCUUAUCCUAUAUUGUAAUGGAUCCCGAUACUAAGUGCAAAACGUAGUAUCAAACCAAUGUCUACCGGCAUAGCUGGAAACGUCUCGAAACAAUUACCUCG